NNNNNNNGGUGAACAGGAGCAUCACAAUAAAAAGCCCUCGUUAAAAAAAAAUCAGCGCCAGGUGUCGUUUGUGAUGAUACGCUGACAGAGUGCUGUUGUCUCUGUCCGUGUCUCGUCCCAAAGGGCAAAAGAUGGGAACCUUCCCGCCCUUGUCGCCAUGAUACACACUUGGCGCGCAGGCAGGCGGGAGCGAGCCCCCAUCAUACACUUCGAAAUUGUCGGGGAGUGCCCGUAAAGCUUUGACUACCGCGGUCCGCCGAGAGGUGAGGGCGAGCAAUCGUCCAGGACGCAGCAGUGUUACGUAGUGGUACACGGAUGGUAAAAACGUCAAAGAUAGGGUUGAUCCGCAGGGAAGCGCCAGUGCUCACGGCAAGAACGUGAGCAAAGGCGAACCUUCAGAGACUCUAAUGAAGUGGGCGCAAGCUUAAGGGAGAGUCCAAUCCACGGGGAGACCCGGUCCACAGGAGUAAGGGGGCGCUGCUCACCCCCAAGGACUGUGGAUGGAGACAGAGUGUUAGCACCUGCCUUCAGGUAGUCAAUGGCCAGCAGNNNNNNNNNNNNNNNNN
rnacentral:ncRNA from 1 species